rnacentral:rRNA from 1 species
AGCAGUACCGUGAGGGAAAGGUGAAAAGAACCCCGGGAGGGGAGUGAAAUAGAACCUGAAACCGUGUGCCUACAACCGCUCAGAGCCCCUUAUGAGGGUGAUGAGGUGCUUUUUGUAGAACGAGCCAACGAGUUACGGUAUGUAGCAAGGUUAAGUACUUAAGGUACGGAGCCGAAGGGAAACCGAGUCUGAAUAGGGCGACUAGUUGCAUGCCGUAGACCCGAAACCGGGUGACCUAUCCAUGGCCAGGUUGAAGCGAGGGUAAAACCUCGUGGAGGACCGAACCACGUUGCUGUUGAAAAAGCAUGGGAUGAGCUGUGGAUAGCGGAGAAAUUCCAAUCGAACCCGGAGAUAGCUGGUUCUCUCCGAAAUAGCUUUAGGGCUAGCGUCGAGUAUGAGUAGUGGAGGUAGAGCACUGAAUGGGCUAGGGGGCAUAGCGCUUACCGAACCUUAUCAAACUCCGAAUGCCACAUACUUUGAGCUCGGCAGUCAGACUACGAAUGAUAAGAUCCGUGGUCAAAAGGGAAACAGCCCAGAUCGUCAGCUAAGGUCCCAAAGUGUAAGUUAAGUGGGAAAGGAUGUGAGAUUUCUAAGACAACUAGGAUGUUGGCUUAGAAGCAGCCAUUCAUUAAAAGAGUGCGUAAUAGCUCACUAGUCGAGAGAUCUUGCGCCGAAAAUGUAACGGGGCUAAACUUACCACC